UCUAAAAACUUCAUCUCCACUCUCUCUAACUCAAUAUCUCUAUCCGUCAAACUCAGAAAUUCCACACUUCUUCGUCUCUUCCUCUCUUUGUGUUUGAAAAACAAAUUGAAGUUUUAAUUCAUAUUGUACAUACCAUUUCUUUACCAUCAACUAUAUGGCUGUGGUGACCAUCUUGGUGGUGCCAAUAGUUCUGGUUGUGAUGAUGGUGGUGAUAGUCAGAGUGGAUCUUCCUCAGCCACAGGUGUGGUCGUGCUUAGCACUUUGGUUGCUGUCUCUGGUUCCUAUGUUUUUGGCAUAGUUGUGGGAUAUUCAUCACCUGCUCAGUCUGGAAUCAUGGAUGACCUGGGUCUUUCUGUGGCAGAGUACUCACUUUUUGGUUCAAUAUUGACAAUUGGAGCAAUGAUAGGUGCAAUAGUGAGUGGCCAAAUAGCAGAUUACAUAGGUAGAAGAUGUACAAUGGGCUUUUCAGAGAUAUUCUGCCUGGCAAGGUGGCUAGCCAUAGCAUUCUCAAAGGGUGCUUGGUGGCUUGACCUUGGGAGACUGUUGGUAGGUUGUGGGAUGGGACUCCUUUCCUAUGUGGUACCUAUAUAUUUUAGCAGAAAUAACACUAAGAAUCUUCUGGUAGGGUUUACAACUGUUCAUCAGUUAAUGAUUUGUUGUGGCGUAUCGUUAACAUAUCAAACUGGAGCUUUUGUGAACUAGCGAACUUUGGCUCUGAUUGGAACCAUACCAUGUCUAGUACAACUUCUUGGUCUAUUCUUCAUUCCAGAAUCUCCAAGAUGGCUGGCAAAAAUUGAUCGAAAGAAAGAGUGUGAAGCUGCUCUACAGCACCUUAGGGGGCAGAAUGCUGAUAUCACUCCAGAAGCUAUUGAGAUUAGAGUAACUUUUGGACUUCAGAUGUCAGAGUACACAGAAACCCUUCAACUACUUUCUGAAGCUAGUAUUCUUGACUUAUUUCAAUGGAAAUAUGCUUACUCACUUAUUGUUGGAGUUGGCCUGAUGGUACUACAACAAUUUGGAGGAGUCAAUGGAAUUGCAUUUUAUGCAAGUGCUAUAUUCAUAUCAGCUGGGCUUUCGAGUAGUAUUGGGGCCAUAGCAAUGGUCAUUGUUCAGAUUCCAAUGACAGCAUUAGGGGUAAUUUUGAUGGAUAAAUCUGAAAGGUGGCCACUUCUAUUGGUUUCUGUAGCAGGAACUUGCUUAGGUUGCUUGCUUGUGGGAUUGUCAUUCUUCUUGCAGGUGUACACAGGAUCUUUCUCAUUAGGCAUGGGAGGAAUUCCUUGGGUUAUAAUGUCAGAGAUAUUUCCCAUAAACAUGAAGGGCUCAGCUGGAAGCCUUGUUACAUUGGUUAGCUGGUUAGGUUCUUGGAUUGUAUCAUAUGCUUUUAACUUUCGAAUGGAUUGGAGCUCAAUAGGAACAUUCUUCACAUUCUCAAGCAUAUGUGGCUUGACUGUUUUGUUCGUGGCAAAGUUGGUACCAGAGACCAAGGGGCGAACACUUGAAGAAAUUCAAGCAUCAUUGAAUCUAUUUUCAGCAAAAAAAUGAAUUUCGCAUGCCUGUACGAUAACACCAAUCCAUGUUCGAAUAAGCAAAAUAAAUUAUAAAAUAUCAACUCCAUAAAAUUGUGGUACUGAGUGCUAGACUAAUUGGUAAAUGGUUGUCACAAUAAGCAAGGUUUUUUUCAAAAGUCAAGAUAUCUUUGCAGCUAUCAUCCAAGAAUUAUUUUUUAAAACUGUUAUGGGAUUGAUAACCAUAGCUUGAAACUCUGCAUUGCACUUGGAGAGAAACUACCUAAUCACCACCUAAUUUAGGGAAUGUGAAAGGUAAAUCUUGAAUUUUUAAACAUUUAGAGACCAUUUGACUUGUGGAAUCUUCCAUUCCAGAAAUCAUAUCCAUGGAAAUAUAGAGUUAUCAAGUUUGGUUUAUUAGAUGCAUUCCUAUCAAAUUCGU